rnacentral:rRNA from 1 species
GUGAGGAAUUUUCCGCAAUGGGCGAAAGCCUGACGGAGCAAUGCCGCGUGAAGGAUGAAGGCCUAUGGGUUGUAAACUUCUUUUCGUAGAGAAGUAUAUUGACGGUAUCUGAGGAAUAAGCAUCGGCUAACUCUGUGCCAGCAGCCGCGGUAAGACAGAGGAUGCAAGCGUUAUCCGGAAUGAUUGGGCGUAAAGCGUCUGUAGGUGGCUUCAAAAGUCUCCUGUCAAAGAUCAGGGCUUAACCCUGGGCCGGCAGGAUGAAGUCUGAGGCUAGAGUUUGGUAGGGGCAGAGAGAAUUACCGGUGGAGCGGUGAAAUGCGUAGAGAUCGGGAGGAACACCAAAGGCGAAAGCACUCUGCUGGGCCACAACUGACCCUGAGAGACGAAAGCGAGGGGAGCAAAAGGGAUUAGAAACCAUAGUAGUCA